rnacentral:rRNA from 1 species
GGGCCUAAAGCGUUCGUAGCCGGUUUGAUAAGUCACUGGUGAAAUCCUGUAGCUUAACUGUGGGAAUUGCUGGUGAUACUGUUGAACUUGAGGUCGGGAGAGGUUAGCGGUAUCCCAGGGUAGAGGUGAAAUUCUGUAAUCCUGGGAGGACCACCUGUGGCGAAGGCGGCUAACUGGAACGAACCUGACGGUGAGGGACGAAAGCUAGGGGCGCGAACCGGAUUAGAUACCCGGGUAGUCCUAGCCGUAAACGAUGCGGACUUGGUGUUGGGAUGGCUUUGAGCCGCUCCGGUGCCGAAGGGAAGCUGUUAAGUCCGCCGCCUGGGAAGUACGGUCGCAAGACUGAACUUAAAGGAAUUGGCGGGGGAGCACCACAACGCGUGGAGCCUGCGGUUUAAUUGGAUUCAACGCCGGACAUCUCACCAGGAGCGACAGCUGUAUGAUUACCAGGCUGAUGACCUUGUUUGACUAGCUGAGAGGUGGUGCAUGG